UGGUGGGUUGCCUUGUCAGGUUGAUUCCGGUAACGAACGAGACCUCGGCCUGCUAACUAGUCACGCCUUCUCCGGAAGGCGGCGGACUUCUUAGAGGGACUAUUGGCGAUUAGCCAAUGGAAGCAUGAGGCAAUAACA
rnacentral:rRNA from 1 species